AUACGUAGGUGGCGAGCGUUAUCCGGAUUUACUGGGUGUAAAGGGCGCGUAGGCGGGGAAGCAAGUCAGAUGUGAAAUCCAUGGGCUCAACUCAUGAACUGCAUUUGAAACUGUUUCUCUUGAGUGCCGGAGAGGUAGACGGAAUUCCUAGUGUAGCGGUGAAAUGCGUAGAUAUUAGGAGGAACACCAGUGGCGAAGGCGGUCUACUGGACGGUAACUGACGCUGAGGCGCGAAAGCGUGGGGAGCAAACAGGAUUAGAUACCCUGGUAGUCCACGCUGUAAACGAUGAAUACUAGGUGUGGGGGGACUGACCCCCUCCGUGCCGCAGUUAACACAAUAAGUAUUCCACCUGGGGAGUACGGCCGCAAGGCUGAAACUCAAAUGAAUUGACGGGG
rnacentral:rRNA from 1 species